UUUAUUUUUAAGUAAUCUCUGCACCCAACAUGGGGCGCAAACUUACAACCGCGAGACCGAGAGUCAUGCUCCGCCAACUGAGUCAGCUAGGCGCCCCUAAAGACUUUUCCAUAUUCAGAUAUCUACAAAUUUAUCAUUUCAAGUCUCUUGAAUUUACUUUGCUUUUGGUAUGUAUUUCUUUAAGAGUUUAAUUUGUCCCUUAUAAUAUUGAUAGGAAUAAGAUUUUUUUUGGUAUUCUUGUUUAGAGAUAAUGUAUACCUAACAUAGUGGUGAUAGACGGAUUUGCAGAUAUCCAGGUAAUUAAUCAUAUUGUCCUUCACUACCUCAUUGACUAUGAAAUUAUCACAGGUAUACCAUGAAAAGAGGAAGGUGUCUCUUCAAGGGACCAAGGGAAUUUACAGGUAUAGCGGUAGAAUAAGAUAGGCACCAAAAAUAUUUUCUAUAGUGGUUUUUUUUUUUUCAGUCUCCUAUCAGUACAUCACAGUGAGCCCAUCAAUGGCAGUUACCGUAGGACAUUGCUGAUGUCACAGUAAGUGAUGAUGUGGGCCUAAGUCACAGUACAGACCAUCUGAUCUUCAGAUAGCUUGGUAAGUCAUGAUGGUAUCCCUAACACUUGCUACUUGCUAUUACCAUGACUUCGUUGCAAGUAUUCAGGUUCCUGUCAAGAUAUGAUGAUGAACCUAACACUAGUCAUUCUCUGUGGACAUUUCUGUUGCCCACGUAAGGGAUGAUGUUCACCUUCACCAUUUCAAAUCAUCUGAUCUUCACGUACCUAGGUGAGCAGGGAAGAGAUGAUGGCAUAUCUGUUUGGCAUGGACCUUGAAGUGUUGCCACAAUCCAGAAAGAUCCGAUGGGUCCUGCAGUAAUGGCAAUGAACACUGCAAAUAGUAUUUCUAGUCGCAAAGGAAGGUCUCUAGACAUGUUUUUUACAGAGUGUUGUUUAAAUUACCAUCGAGAGGUCAUGGUAAAUUUCAAAGUGAUCAUUGCUGGGACUUUGCGUAUGUUCAGGUUUCCAGUUAAGAAAUGAUACUGUCCCAACCAAUGCUAAUCUCAUCAUGUCUGGACAGCAGCCUGAAAAAGACAUCACUGUGCACCUAGCAUUGAUGGCAAUGGCAGACAUUGCUGGUAAGUUUCCCGGGAAGUGAGGCUGUGGCCCUAAAUCACAGCACAGGCCAUCUGAUCUCCAGAUAGGUAAGUGAUGACGGUGUCCCUAAGAGUUGUUACCAUGAUUUCUUUGCAGAUGUUCAGGUAGGAAUUGAUAGUCCUUACUAAUUAUAGAAACCAUGAGUUUUACUUUUUACAUUUUAGGAAAGAUUUUUGUUUAACCUUGUGAGUGAUGAGGGAUUGCCAUAUCGAGGUAAUUAACAUUGUGUCCUCAACCACAGCAAUAACCAACAAUUUUGGAGGUGUCCCAUGGAGAAAUAUUGUCUUAUCUGGUGAUGAUUUUGACCUUGGAAAUACUAUAAGUGUUUAGGUAUAGUUGAUAUGUCUCAGAAUGAUAAAGUGACCAAGGUUAUUUACAGGUGUCCUGGUAGAACAAGUUGUGUCCCUUUACACGUAGAUCAUGUGUUUUUCAGGUUCCUGUCAAAAGACUUCAAUGAAUCUGAUGAUGGUCGGUAAAGGGGGUACGUUUCUGGUAUCCAGAUAUCUGAUGAGGUGUACUUUCACUACAUCAGACCCUCUGCUCUUCAUGAGUCUUUUUCCAUUAAAUUUUGUUGAUUACUUGAAUUUGUUUUACCAUGUGGGGUUUUUUUUUUUUUUUUAAGGCAUUCAGGCAGAAAUGAUAGCAUUUUUACCAAUUCUAGCAAACCUAUUAUCCAAGUUUUUUGUGUUUUAGAGGAAAUUUGCAUAAAACCAUGUGAAUAUUCAGCAAUUCAUGGGUAUUCAUGGAAUAAAUGGUUGCAGAUCCCACAAGUUACCAUGGUGUUUUUGUAGGUAAUCAAAACAUGCUGGCAAUGGCAUAGACCGUGGAGUACUGAAAGAUCCCAUGUAGAGUUGAUGGAUCCUACAAUGAUGUAAGUGCACAAGAUUAUUUCCAUGACCUGGUAGAGAGGGUAUCCUAUAGACCCAUUUGUCACUGUAUGUUAUUCAAGUUCCUGUCAAGAAAUCCUGGUGAACCCCAUAAUGAUCAAUAAUAGGACUUUGCUUUCAUCCAGGUAAGUGAUGAUGUGGGCCUCAAGCUCCCUAGAAACAAUCUAACCAUCUGAUAGGUGGGUAAGUGUGGAUGGAUUUCCCAGCUUCUUUAUGACUAUGUUUUUGUUUUUGUUUUUAUAGGUAUUCAGGUAAGAAAUUAUAGAGUAGGCUAGUAACCAUGCUAGUAAUUAUUUAAAGUUUAGAUGGUGACCGAGGGAUAUGCAGGUGUCCAGGUAAGUUAUCCUCCUGUUCCACACCACAGUGUUGAGAGAGAAAUUUUUUACAGGGACUCAGGAGAUGAUGCCUUCUCUAACAAUGGAGUUGACCUUGAAGUUCUAGUUAUGCCAAGAACCAAGUAGUGUUGAUAGGUUUUCUAAUGAUGGAAAUAACCAGUGUUAAUUAUAUGUAUUCUUUUUUCCCCCAGGUGAAAAACUUUUUCUUUUUUUUAGGUGUAUAAACUAUUAACAGAUAGGCCUACAGAUUUAUUUCUUCCACAGUGUGGCCGUGGCAGCCUGUGGUGUUGGUGCACUGGCCUUGGACGCGAAGUCCCCAGAAGUGACACAGCCCUCGGGGGGCCUGAAUCUUCUUCAGUCACUCCAGGUCUUCACAAAGUUUGUUGUCCAGACCAUUGGCCAGGACCUGGUUAUAUUUUCCAUCCUUCAUGUCCUUUCGUCUGUCUGAAGCCAGCCUGGGGUCUUACAUUGGCAUAGAUGCUGCGUAAUGGUGAUCGCACAUUCCCCCUCAUCCUCGGGGAGCUCUCCUGUCCUCUUGGGGAGAUCGAUGUCUGCUUUCCUCAACACCAUGUUAUGGUAGUUAGUCCUGUUACAGUCCCAUUAAUGGGACCCUGCUCGUAACCUGGUAUGUGAUUUUGUGGAUGUUACACCAUACUUGAGAUCACCUAUUCUUCAGAUGUCUUAGGCUUAUGUGAAGACCUCAUGAUUAAUAGGCUUCCCUCUCACAUUUAAUGAGGCAUAUAGGGAUAUUGAGGAAAGGGAUAAUGUGGGCCUAAAGCACAGCGUACUCUUUCUGAUCCUACUAUGUAGGCUCUUGUCAAGAAAACCCAGUGAACCUAACAAUGUUCAUUAAUGGAACCUUGCUCUUAACCUGGUAAGUGAUGACGUGGGUUCUACCACUAUCCAGACCCUCUGCUCUCCAAAAGGAAAGUAGGCGAAGGUGGUGUCGCGACCGUUGGUGUUACUGAGUUUGUUUGCAGAUAUCCUGUUAUGGUCUCUGUUAGUAUACAGGUAUGAGAUGAUAUGACAUCUUAUUAGAGACAUUCUUAUUUCCAGGCAUCUAUAUAAUUAAUGUUUGAGACUCUUACAUUUAUGUUAUUUUGGGACGUAUUCUGUUAAGAAAUUAAUGUGCCCCUAGUAACACUAGUAAGAAUGUGAUUUUCUGUAUUCUUGUUUAGAGAUACUAUGUAUUUAACAGUUGGAGUGACAGAGGGAUCCAGGUAUUCUGUCCCGUAAUCUAUCACAGCAUUAUUGACGCUGGAAUUUUUGUAGGUAUCCAUCAAGAGAGAAAGGUAUGUCCUCAGCUUUUACCUGAGAGUUCCUUCCACAAGUAACCAAGAGAAAUUGCAGGUGUAGCGGAAGAAGGAUUUAUUCUCCACGAUAUGGUUUUCAGGCUCAGGUCAGAACAUGAUAAGCCCAUUAUUGGUAUAUAACAUGGGACAUUGCUGGUGUCAAGGUCAGUGAUGAAGUGGACCUAAACCACAGCACAGGCCAUCUGACUUUCAUAUACAGAGAAGUAAGUAAUAUUCACUUGCCUAAACUUUUGGUUGCCAUAUUUUUCUCACUUGCCGUUCGUUUGUUUAGGUAUUUAAGUUUAGAGAUGAUAGUAUCCUUGUCAAUACCAGUAACCAUGUACCUUUCUUUAUUUCAGAGAAAAUGUGUUUAGCCCUGGAAGUUUUGAGUGAUUUAUGGGUAUCCAUAUAAUGGUUACAAACUUCUGUGUCAUGGUAGCAAUGGUGUGUUACUUGACAGCAGUUAGGAGGUGACGGUAUUUUUAACAGUGGUGCAGAACUUGGAGUACUGCAGGUAUCCCGGCAGAGAGGAGGGUAUUUGCAGGUGUCCUGGUGGGAAAUAUGUGUUUGUAGACACACUUGUCACAGUGUGGUUUUCAGGUUCCUGUCAAGAGAUCAUGAUGACCUUCAUAAUGAUUUUUAUCAGCGACAGUGCUCGUGUUGCGGUAAGUGAUGAUAUGCCCCAAGCAUCCCCACAGACCUUCUGAUCUGGAGAUUUCCAGGUAAGUUUGAUAGCAUCACUAACAUUAGUGUACCCGUGGUUUCGUUUUGGGUUUUUUUGAGUAGGUAUUCAGGUAAAAAAUCAUCUCAAACAAUGCUAGUAAGCAUUAGCUCUUACAGGAUGAAAGUUCCGUCGGUGGAGCACGUGACUCUUGAUCUCGGGUUGUAAGUUCAAGCCCUGCACUGGCUUAGAGCUUCCUUUAAAAAAAGAUUAUUUAACACCCCCACUGAGUUUAUAUAUAUAAUGUGUGUCUAACAUCAGUAGUGACUGAGACCCGAGUGCAGGUUAGUCAUCUAGGUUCCACACCACAGUUAUUACCAUAAGAUUUUUCCAGGUGGCCAGUCAAGAGGUGAAGAUGUCUCCGGUAUCCAUGUUGACCUUGAAGUUCUGCCAUGAUCCAGGUGACGUUGAUGGUUCCCGUAGUGACAGAAUGGACCAAAAUUACCUAUAGAUACCCUGCCAGGAUGAGUUGUUGCCUUAUACACAUUCGCCGUCCCUCUUUUUUAGGAUCCUGUCGAGUAGUCAAUCCGAACAGAAGAAUGGUUAUUAGCAAAAUCUUGUCAGGAACCAGUUAAGUGCUAAAGAGAGUUUUACCUAUGGGUAAGAGCAUCUCAUCCUCAGAUGAUCAAGGCAAGUGAGAAUGAUGUGUCUCACAUUUGUAUUACCAUCUUUCUGCAGAUAAACUAUUAAGGUUCUCCUAGUAACCAGGUCUCAGAUGCUGUGACCUUAACUCCAGGAGACAUUACUUUCAGAAAUCUGUGUGAUGAAUGAUAUUGUUCAGGUCCUAACAGUAACCUGGUGAGAGGCCUGUAUGCAGUUAAGCAAUUAAGUUGUCCCUAACAAUUAGUAUGCCUGAGAAUGUAUGACUGUUAUUUAUGAUGGUUUCGGACUGAUCGAGGAACUUUCACAUUCCCAGGUCCUUUAUCGUAUUGUCUAUCACUGUGUUACCAACCACAGGAUUUCUGCAGGCACUCCUUCAGGAGAGGAAGAUUGCUCUUCCUUGGGGCUGACCUUGGAGUUUCGCAAGUAUAUUCAGACCUUAUUGAUGGGUCCUGAGGUAACACAAAAGGCCAGGAGAGUUCGCAGCUGUCUGUAAGAAUGAACUCGUACCAAACGCAUUUGCCACAGUGUGUUUUUCAGCUUCCUGUCAAGACAUCACGAUGAACCCAGCCAUAGACAUUAGCGAGGAGCAUUAUGGCAGGACACAGAUAGGAGAGGCUGGGGUCCUAAAGCACAGGACAGGCCAUCUCAUCUCCACAUAGCUAGGUUCUUGUCAGGAGAACACAGUGAACCUCACCGUGGUUGGUAACAGAUCCUUACUAGUAACCAGGUAAGUGCUACCGUGGGUCUUAACCAUACAGACUGAUCUAAUCUUCAAUGUCUAGGUAAAUGAGAAUGGCAUCCCUAACACUUGUGUUACUGUGUUUAUCCGCAGAUAUCCUCUUAAGAUCUUUCCUAGUACACAGGUAUACGAUAAUGCGACGUUAGCUUACUAGAACAUUCUAAUUUUUAGAUACCUAUGCAUUAAUAUGUUGAUGAUUCUAAUAUUGACAUUGUUUGGGCAUGUAUUCUGUUAAGAAAUUAAUGUAUUUCUCUAAUACUGGUAAGAAUGAGAGUUGUGUCCUUGUUUGGAGCUACUGUGUUUUCAAAACCAGUGGUGAUGGAAGGAUGUGCCAAUACCCAGUAAUGUGUCCUGUUGUCCAUCUCAGCAUUAUUGACCCUGGCUUUUUUGUAGGGAUCCCUUCCAAGAGGAACCAGUCACUUUCUAGCUUCAAUCUUGGAGCUCUGCAAGUACCCAGGAUGUCAUGGUGAGUGUCUCCAUGGUAGUUGAUGGAGGACAUUGGUGGUGCGAGGUAAGUGAUGAUGUGAGCCUGCGCCCCAGCAUGGACCAUCAGAUUUUCACACACACGGGGAAGUCUAUGUUGAACACUGUGAGUGUUGAGGGAUUGCAUAUAU